rnacentral:rRNA from 1 species
AAGUUCAGAUGUGAAAGACCCGGGGCGUCAACCUACCGGAAUAGCAUUUGUAAACUAGGCAGACUAGAGUACUGUAGAGGGGGGGUAGGAAUUUCAGGUGUAGCGGUGAAAAUAGCGUAGAGAUCUGAAGGAAUACCGGUGGCGAAGGCGGCCCCCCUCGGACAGAUACUGACACUCAGAUGCGAAAGCGUGGGGAGCAAACAGGAUUAGAUACCCCUGGUAG